GGGGGAUAUUGCACAAUGGGGGGAACCCUGAUGCAGCGACGCCGCGUGAGGGAAGAAGGUUUUCGGAUUGUAAACCUCUGUCUUCGGUGACGAUAAUGACGGUAGCCGAGGAGGAAGCCAUGGCUAACUACGUGCCAGCAGCCGCGGUAAUACGUAGAUGGCAAGCGUUGUCCGGAAUUACUGGGUGUAAAGGGAGCGUAGGCGGGUAGGCAAGUUGGAUGUGAAAUACACAGGCUCAACCUGUGAAUUGCAUUCAAAACUGUUUAUCUUGAGUGAAGUAGAGGUAGGCGGAAUUCCUAGUGUAGCGGUGAAAUGCGUAGAUAUUAGGAGGAACACCAGUGGCGAAGGCGGCCUACUGGGCUUUUACUGACGCUGAGGCUCGAAAGCAUGGGUAGCAAAC
rnacentral:rRNA from 1 species